rnacentral:rRNA from 1 species
GUAGGUGGCAAGCGUUGUCCGGAAUUAUUGGGCGUAAAGCGCGCGCAGGCGGUUCGUUUAAGUCUGAUGUGAAAGCCCACGGGCUCAACCGUGGAGGGUCAUUGGAAACUGGAGAACUUGUGUACAGAAGAGGAAAGCGGAAUUCCACGUGUAGCGGUGAAAUGCGUAGAGAUGUGGAGGAACACCAGUGGCGAAGGCGGCUUUCUGGUCUGUAACUGACGCUGAGGCGCGAAAGCGUGGGGAGCAAACAGGAUUAGAUACCCUGGUAGUCCACGCCGUAAACGAUGAGUGCUAAGUGUUAGGGGGUUUCCGCCCCUUAGUGCUGCAGCUAACGCAUUAAGCACUCCGCCUGGGGAGUACGGCCGCAAAGGCUG